AUUGAACGCUGGCGGCAGGCUUGACACAUGCAAGUCGAGCGGAGAGAGGUAGCUUGCUACUGAUCUUAGCGGCGGACGGGUGAGUAAUGCUUAGGAAUCUGCCUAUUAGUGGGGGACAACAUUUCGAAAGGAAUGCUAAUACCGCAUACGUCCUACGGGAGAAAGCAGGGGAUCUUCGGACCUUGCGCUAAUAGAUGAGCCUAAGUCGGAUUAGCUAGUUGGUGGGGUAAAGGCCUACCAAGGCGACGAUCUGUAGCGGGUCUGAGAGGAUGAUCCGCCACACUGGGGCUGAGACACGGGCCAGACUCCUACGGGAGGCAGCAGUGGGGAAUAUUGGACAAUGGGCGGAAGCCUGAUCCAGCCAUGCCGCGUGUGUGAAGAAGGCCUUAUGGUUGUAAAGCACUUUAAGCGAGGAGGAGGCUACUUUAGUUAAUACCUAGAGAUAGUGGACGUUACUCGCAGAAUAAGCACCGGCUAACUCUGUGCCAGCAGCCGCAGUAAAAC
rnacentral:rRNA from 1 species